AAAAUGGAGGGAGGACACAAGAAAAGUUAAAAUUCAAAGUUUCUUCUUAUGGUAUCUUGAAGAAUUGAAGGUUUGAAGGAAAGAAGGUACCAAAUAUGAAGAGAGAAGGCCCACAUCCUAGGACCAUUUCCACUGAGAAGCUGCUCUCCAAGUGAAUACAGCUCAAUGCAACUCAACAAGUGUUUGCAGAGCACCUGCUGAAAGUCAAGGAGAAGCCUUACUCACUUCCAUAUCAACUGUACCAUUCACUUUCUGUCAUGCACAACCUCCCAAUAUUAAAUACCUUUUCACAUUCGAAGGCCUGGAUUCCUCAAGAUGCUGAAAAUUUCUGCCAAAUAUCUUGGUAACAUUUAGAACUGUUUUCAAAAGAAAGAAAGGCACUAUUAAGACCAGCUCUAAGCUCAAGCAAGAUCUCCAGGUGUGCCUAAAGAAUCUUGGGGAUGUGUCUUCUGAAGCUAAAGAGACCCCUAAGCAUCCUGCAAAAUACCAGUGCACAACAAUUUGGGACAUAGCUUAAGCUUUCUGCUCGAUGCUGGCGACAAAGAGGAGAAAGACAACUUCUACUCUCAGACAACUUAGUCUGCUUUAGGAGUUACAAACACAGACAAUUUCAACACUGGAUGAAAAUGAUGGGACAAAGGUAAAAGGAGAGAGGAAUGCAUCUCAGCUGAGUUUCAGAAAAAAAAAAAGUUUUGAAGAGAUCUCAAUGUUAGGAAGCCAACAAGGCCUGCAAAAGUCACCUAGAUCAUGAAAUUGACUAUGUCAGGGGAGGCAAUUCGUCACAAUCGUGUUUGAAAAUGAGGAUAAGCAUGGAGAGCCAAUGAUUACAUUUCACAAUGUCCUUCAUGGGAAACUAUAUCCCAGAAGAGUUAGGCCACUUCCUUAAGAUCAUGCAACCUACUUCUACAGUACCAUCAAUAUGAAGGUGAUUGCUUUUUCUCCACAUUUUAGAACUAACUAAUUUUGCCCAAUUCUUUGGCUUACUAGGUUUGAAUGAAAAAAUAUAGACUCCUGAAGUGAGGAGAUAAAUUAGAAAGGGUUGUGCAGUCCAGACAAAUUAUUAUUUUGUGCCAGCAAAACUACA
rnacentral:lncRNA from 1 species